rnacentral:lncRNA from 1 species
AGGAAUAUUUGUUUCUUUUGUUUACUGAUACAUGGCAAGUGCCUAGAAUGGUUACACAGCACAUAGUAGGUACUGAAUAAAUAUUUGUUGGAUAAAUAAGUUUCUGUGCUAGAUGCUGAGAUGUGGCCCCCAGAUUGCCCUCAAGACUGAAGAACUUAUUCCCCUAGCAUCUAGGAGUGCUGCUGGCAAAUGUAUCUUCCCCAGAAAUUGCCCUCAGCUAGAAAAUUGCCUGUAGCACCCAAUGACUGGCCCAUAUGGGAGUAUAAAGAUCCAGUCCUUCACUGCAGUGUGGGACAACUCCAAAGCGCCAUCCCACCUCAGAGUUCCCCUUGUGGUCCACUGAAGCCUUUUCUAGGGUUGCAUUGCAGCCCAACUUGUAUCUUUGCCUAAUUCUGCUUCCUUCCCUUCCCCAACGUGUACUGAUCCCUAAUAAAACUAUCAUCUGCUAAUCUUCAUCUCAGUGUCUGCUUUCUAGUGACAUCAACCUGCAACAGUUUUAUUGGGGAUAAAUUUCUGGGUCUUCACCACUUUGAAGCAAUAGCUCUAUUGUCUUGUUUCUAAUGAUACUCAACAGAAUAUUUAGAUCUGAUUCUAGCCCUUUUAUAGGUAUGGCGAACAUUUGAUUGCCUCCUCCUUUUCCUUGCUAAUAAGACCAGAGUAUUGUCCCAGCUCUGGUGGCCAGUGUUCCAUAAAUUUCUCUCACCCUGGGGUGAACUGUGGAUACCUUUCAGCCAUUGCUUCCUAUCCUUUUUCAUAACAAGGCCCCACACAUAAUAUACUUUCUAUAUGGCACCUUUUAAAUGCUUCCAUUAUUCCAUUCAUGCUCCUAUAGACUAGGAGGCUCCGUGCACCCCAAGUCCCACCCAGGCUAGGACCAAGAGGAUCAAACUCUCAUAACUGCAUACAAUUUCAGCACUGGCCCACCCACUGAGACUCUCUGGUCUAUGCAGUCACUCAGUCAUGAUAAUUCCGUUACCCUUGUCGCAAUUGCUUCCGGUGUGGAAGACACAGUUGCCUUUUCUAGCCCUUGGUAUUGCUGUUUAGAUAAAUGAUGCUUGCAGCUAUACCAUCUUGUGUCCAUGAGGGAAUACCUUCCAGAGAGCGCAGUAAGUGUACAGAGGACUUUACCUCUAUCAAUACAGGCAGACACGAAGCUGACCUUUGUUCUCCUCCUCUCCUGGAGACUUGGCUCUUCCUAUAGACCCGUUUGCUCAUAAGGGGCUCAAAUUCCAGAGGUCAGAAAGCUCUCAUCACAGCUACCCAAGAAGCAGGUUUCACAAAGGACUCUAGACACAGACUGACUCCCACUCUGUCUGCGAGGGCA